UGGGAACCAAUGAAGUUGGUUGAGCUCAGUUGCUCAAAUUACUCGAAUGUCAUAUUGCAGUAGGUCAAAAGUACAGAAAGUAAAAUUGGAGUGCACAGAAAUUCCCGACAUCCACUUCCAUUAUCAUCGAAUCAAGCGUUACAUCCAGACAAACGCCAAUACAGAUUUCGACCAGUACUUCUUAACAGACACAAGCCUUACACCCAGAUAACAUUUGAACAGAAGAUGCACCCAGAUAACAUUUGAACAGAAACCUAGAUAGCAGACAACGCAAGACACAAAUCUUCCUACACUGCGAGAUCGAUCUAUGAAAACAGAACCCGGACAAGACACCACGAGGAUUCCGAAACCUCCUUGCAAAACGUCCAGAAACCUCCACGCAAAACGUCUCCCCCGGUCACCCAGCCGUCUGCAGCCACAGGAUGAGACGGGUCAAGAAAUUGAAUCAGGAGAAAACAAAGGCGAAGGCAAGUCGGGAUUUGUCGGGAUUUGAUUCAUACCAUGUACAAGUGCUCAAUUGCGACCUCCACGUGCCCUGCGACCGGCACCCUGAUGUCCUCCGCCGCGACCCGGGCCAUGGUUGGCGCCGCCGCGGCCGCCGGCGUGGUUGAAGCCUCCGCCGCCG
rnacentral:lncRNA from 1 species